UUGUUUAUCAUGUGUUCAUGCGUUAUUUUACUCCGCCCAUCACAUCAUGUUCCUCCUCCGGCACACGGAUUGAAACGCACUUUCUAGGCUCACAUAUGCGAAAAUAUGCGUCGAAAUUUGCGUUAUAUUCUGUCUAAAUCUAAAUUCUGUCUAAAUCGUUGUCAAAAGGGAGAAAACAAGAACUGAAAUGUCAAAUGAAGCACUGUUUGACUUCCUGAAGUGACUGUGACUCCUGCGCGCUCAGAUACCCGACCCACAUGGCCCAUCAGUACACGUCUCUAAACUGUCCAGAGGAGAAUGACGAAACCAGGAGUGAAGAGUUUGAGUCGGACAUCACUCACAACCCCAAUAACCGUUCCACAACCGUUCCACAGAUCAUUCACCAGGAUAACGCAGAGAGUUACUCUUCAGCGUACGCUCAUCAGACGCCUUACCCCAGCUGGGACCAUCACACGGGCUGGCCGUCCUCAGGUUCCCCUCACAGCCUGCCCUCCUGCCUUCCGUCUGCGAUCUACCACACGCUCUCAGAGAGCGGCUCGUUUUUUCCCAGCAGGCCUCACUCUCUUCCAGGCAGCUGUAGCCCGAGUCUCAUGAGUCUAGAGCAUCCCAGAUCUCUACAUUCGUUUCCUCCAUCUGCGCCCCCGCCCUCGUACCCCGGCGCUCACCUGCGCCCGCAAUGCUUUGGUCAGUACCACCCACCUCAGCAUCACAUGAACCCCAUCCAUUACUGCAGCUCCAGACCGGGACAUCAGCUGCCCUACAGACCCUCAGGCCUGACGCAGUACAGACAAGUGGAUACACACUUUUCUGAAAAUGGUCAUGCAUCUCUGAGCCCCAGACAGAACCCCAGUCAAUGCACACAUCUGUCACAGGAACAGAGCGUAUUUUCCCCACGCAGGGAAAGUUUUCGUCACAUACGAGGCCGACAGUGAAGAGCAUCUGAAGGAGAUCAUUAAGUUCGUGGCUUUGCUCAGGAACAACGGCUUUGACACGCAUAUCGAUGUUUUUGAGCAACAGCUGAACAGCAUCAGUAAGAUCGACUGCAUGGAGAGAUAUCUCAAUGAGAAAGAUUACCUAAUCAUCAUCAUCAUCAGCUUGAGGUAUUAUGAGACGAUAUCUGGCAUUAAUAUCAGUAUGGACAGUGACGAGAGAACAUCAAACACUGUGUACAUCCACAGACAGCUGCAGAGUGAAUUCAUUCAGAACGGCUGCAGGAACUACAGGUUCAUUCCUAUUCUGUUCCCGGGGGCUAAAAAGAGUUACGUUCCCACCUGGCUGCAGAAUACGUACAUCUACAGCUGGCCGAAGGAUCGGGACGAUAUUCUCCGCAGGUUAAUGCGUGUGGAGAAAUACAGACCUCCUCCGAUCGGCCCUCUGCCGAAGAUAGUCUCAAUUCCCCUCAGUUAGAGCAGCAGACCAGAGGUUCGACGCUCGCAGUCGCAUACUAAUAUACUGCUGUUUCUGUAGUACGCAGUAUGUACCUGGAUGACCUGAUGCACUCGACUUUACAUUUCCUCCUGAACCAGGAUUAUUUUUAACAUGUUUUUUGAUUAUUUUUGGAUUAAAAAUGCAGUUUAACAGUUUUACUUCAGAAAUGAUAACAUGUGACAAUGUAGCAUACUACUGUUUGAAGUUUUUUAGUAUCUCAUUUGUUAAAGGGUUAGUUCACCCAAAAAUGAAAUUUCUGUCAUUAAUUCCUCACCCUCAUGUCGUUCCACCCCCUUAAGACCUUCGUUCAUCUUCAGAACACAAAUUAAGAUAUUUUUGAUAAAAUCCAGACGUUUUUUUUUUUAUCCUUCAUUGAAAGCAAUGAAAUUAACACAUUCAAGGUCCAGAAAAGUAGUAAAAACAUCAUUAAAACAGUCAUGUGACUGCAGUGGUUCAACCUUAAUGUUAUGAAGCGACGAGAAUACUUUUUGUGCACAAAAACAAAGCAAAAAUAACGACUUUAUUCAAAAAAUUCGUCAUUCUCAUACGUCGUGCUGCUCACGUGACCAGAGCCGGCCAAUACUGAGCCAGCGUUCGGACGUCAACACGGAAGCUCUGCAAUGGAAAUAGCGUAUGAGAAUCAUGGGAGAGACAAAUUUGUUGAAUAAAGUCGUUAUUUUUGUUUUUGCGCACAAAAAGUAUUCUCGUCUCUUCAUAACAUUAAGGUUGAACCACUGCAUAUUAACGGUAAUAUUCAAGUUGUUGAAUAUAGAUUCUGAUGUGUUAUGUAGUUCCUGCAUAUAGGCACUAGAGGGCAGUGGGUGAAUAGGAUGUGAUGCAGUGUAUGCAAAGAAAUGAUAGAAUAAAAAGGAAAACCGCAUGUGUUGAA